rnacentral:tRNA from 1 species
AAAAAAUUAGUUUAAAACAAAAAAAACUUUAGUAUGUCAAACUAAAAAUAUUAGUUUAAAUCUAAUAUUUUUUA